rnacentral:sRNA from 1 species
CUAAUAUAAAAAUAUAAAUACCGCAUCUAUAACCACACGUUUAUCACUGCUCAUUGACCCACUCAUCAUCAUCAUCUUUAGGAUUCUCUGCAGGAUCCGCGACGCCAUCCUCCAAGAUGGAAAUUAUGUCGUCUAGGCGCUUAACCCACAUAUGCGUAUGUUCAUGCUCCUUCAAGGCUCGAUUGUGAUCAUUUAGUAACAGGAUCGUGGCAGCGCCUGCUAGGUGGCCUGCUGUCAUGUCGUCAAGGCUGUCACCGACCAUGAUCAAAUCUUCUGGUUUAGUGCCCCAUUCUUUGGCUAUAUGUAAAAUCCCUGCCGGAUCUGGCUUCGGGAGGAUGUCUGGAGUAUCGCGGGUUAUGAUUGGGAGAAACUCAUGUGUUGGGAGGUGCGUUGCUAGAAGGUGGUUUACGGGUGUUUCGAAAUUCCGGGUACAUAACGCCCGCUUCAAUGCCUUUGACUGCAGAUAAUCCAUCAAUUCUAGAAGACCAGGCUGAGGAACUUGCUUGACCAUAGCUUCCCGUUCGAUGUUUCUAAUUCUUGUGAUAGCUGCGGUGCGAUCUUCUUGCGUUGGCAGGCUGCGGAUAUGCCCAAUGAUAUCAACGGAUUUAUCAAUCCCGAGCGCGGAGCGCAUCUCUUGGAACAUAUAGUUUUGCGGUAGACAUAAUGUCCCGUCGACAUCAAACACAACACCCUUCAAAGUGGCCUUGUUGCCUUCAUUACUUGCAUCAGGCCGAAGCGGGGCAAACCUCCAUGGUCGCAGGGAUGAGCUGACCGCUGCUGACAUGACGCGGGUGGGGAGCAUGAAUCUAAAUAGUAGGAGUAAAUGAAGCCGUUUUCUGGAGGUAG